rnacentral:lncRNA from 1 species
CGCUUUAUUAAUAUAAAGCUAUUAAAUACGUAUUUUCAUGUCAUAAACGAUCCAAAGGGGUACCAAUUAUUUGUAAAUAUAAAUAGACCUUUCUAGAGCUUAUUUUCACCCGUAAAAUCAUUUCACCAGUUUCUCUGCACGAAUACCGAGAGAAACCGAGCGGUGUUCUUCGUGUUCUUCAUAAUCAAACGAAGAUUUGAAGGCGUUAUUGGAGUCAGAAUCAAGCGUGCGAAUAGUCAAAUCGAAGAUAUCAAAGAGUAGA